UGUGGAAUAUUGCACAAUGGGCGAAAGCCUGAUGCAGCGACGCCGCGUGAGGGAUGACGGCCUUCGGGUUGUAAACCUCUUUCAGCAGGGACGAAGCGCAAGUGACGGUACCUGCAGAAGAAGCACCGGCUAACUACGUGCCAGCAGCCGCGGUAAUACGUAGGGUGCAAGCGUUGUCCGGAAUUACUGGGCGUAAAGAGUUCGUAGGCGGUUUGUCGCGUCGUUUGUGAAAACCAGCAGCUCAACUGCUGGCUUGCAGGCGAUACGGGCAGACUUGAGUACUGCAGGGGAGAGUGGAAUUCCUGGUGUAGCGGUGAAAUGCGCAGAUAUCAGGAGGAACACCGGUGGCGAAGGCGGGUCUCUGGGUAGUAACUGACGCUGAGGAACGAAAGCGUGGGUAGCGAACAGG
rnacentral:rRNA from 1 species